CUUUCUUUGCUGGCGACCGGCGCACGGGUGAGUAACACGUAUCCAACCUGCCCUUUACUCGGGGAUAGCCUUUCGAAAGAAAGAUUAAUACCCGAUAGCAUAAUGAUUCCGCAUGGUUUCAUUAUUAAAGGAUUCCGGUAAAGGAUGGGGAUGCGUUCCAUUAGGUUGUCGGUGAGGUAACGGCUCACCAAGCCUUCGAUGGAUAGGGGUUCUGAGAGGAAGGUCCCCCACAUUGGAACUGAGACACGGUCCAA
rnacentral:rRNA from 1 species